CCUCAGUGCUCUGUUUAUCUGAGGACUUUGACAUAGGAAUACUUAUGUGCUCUUUGGUUAACAUAGCACAGACUUUGUUUCAUGUAUUAUUUGGAGGGUUUUGAGGUGAGAACCUGAUUGUGUUAACAUGCUAGCAAGGCUUCAGAAGCAUUACUGAUUGCAAGUGCAUUAGAAGCUGUGGCAUGUUUAAGAUUUGUGAAGACUCACUGGGCGGCCCUGAAGUUACCUCCAGCUGUUUCUGUUGCAGGACUUUUUGUGUCAAAUAGAAAGGUACUGUAGGCAGUGCCAUUUGACCACACCGAUCAUGUUUCCCCCCGAGCACCCCGUGGAAGAGGUCGGUCGCUUGCUGUUACAUUGCUUCUUAAAACAUGAAGAUUUAGGUAAGGAGCUCAAUAUCUGUGUACUUUAGCUAGACUGCAGAUUCCUCGACUAACCUGUGGUACAUAUUCAUUCCUUCCCUGUCCUUCUUUUAAAUGUCUUUUUGCAGGUCAUGUGGCAUUAUCUUUAGUUCAUGCAGGUGCACUUGAUACUGAGCAAAUAAAGCACAGAACGUUGCCUAAGUCAGUGGUGGAUGUUUGUAGAGUUGUCUAACAAGCAAAAUGUUCGCUCAUUAAGGUGAUAUAUUUUAAUUCUUUUUAUUCUGUGCUUUGCAGACAGUUGCAGAAAUAUUUGUUGUUAAAGUUGUCUUUUCCUGGUUAACUUUGCAGACUCAUCAAGAACAGGGCCGUUCUUACAAGGAGGUCUGCACUCCUGUCAUCGAACGUUUGAGAUUCCUCUUUAAUGAAUUGAGACCUGCUGUUUGUAAUGACUUCUCCAUAAUCUCUAAGUUUAAAUUGUUAAGUUCUUUGCCCUGUUGGAGGAGGAUAGCUCAGAAGAUAAUUCGGGAACGGAGGAAAAAGAGAAUGAAUGAUGUUUUAAAACACAGUUCCUAAGAAGCCAGAAUCUACGGCUGAUGAAGAAAAAAUUGGAAAUGAAGAGAGUGAUUUAGAAGAAGCCUGCAUUUUGCCUCAUAGUCCAAUAAAUGUGGACAAGAGACCCAUUGCAAUUAAAUCACCCAAGUUGCAGUGUUUUCUGUGAUUCUGAGGUUAGCUGAAUAGAAUCAUAGCAUGUAGCAAAGGAAUCCACA
rnacentral:lncRNA from 1 species